rnacentral:rRNA from 1 species
GUAGUUUUGAUGUUCUAACGUUGGAAGCUGUAUCGGGGUUACUGUCAGUGGCUGGUGGGUAGUUUGACUGGGGCGGUCUCCUCCCAAAGAGUAACGGAGGAGCACGAAGGUUGGCUAAGUACGGUCGGACAUCGUACGGUUAGUGUAAUGGUAGAAGCCAGCUUAACUGCGAGACAGACACGUCGAGCAGGUACGAAAGUAGGUCAUAGUGAUCCGGUGGUUCUGAAUGGAAGCGCCAUCGCUCAACGGAUAAAAGGUACUCCGGGGAUAACAGGCUGAUACCUCCCAAGAGUUCAUAACGACGGCGGUGUUUGGCACCUCGAUCUCGGCUCAUCACAUCCUGGGGCUUAAUACGGUCCCAACGGUAUCGCUGUUCGCCAUUUAAAGAGGUAAGCAAGCUGGCUUU